AAUAUCUCAUCAACGGGUCCAAGGAGGUCAAUCCCAGGCUUCAAUUCUACUUCAGGAUUAUCCGUCUCUGCUUCCGUCGAAACGAAAGCGAUGAAUUUUCCUUUUGGAGCAACGUUGUGUGCGUAUGAGCAACAGAAGAGGAUAACCUGAGCUGAAUGAGAAUCAUUGGUGUCUGGGAUUGGAUGACUCAUUAUACAAACUGCACGAGCUACCUUUCCAACCUUUUUAACCUGUUGAAUAUUCAAUAGAAAAGGAUCGGCAGAUGAAAAUAUAUAAGCAAUUUUGCAUAUGAGGAUCAGUCGUUGGCCUUCUGGUUAAUGGUUCUCUUAACCGUGGAAGUUGAUUCAGCCCAAUAACUCAUAGUUUAGUACUUUUUCGAUGUCAAGAGUUACCUUGUCUGGCAGAUACGAUGGGUCACAAACAACUUUUUUGCAUUUAGCAGUUUCUCCUUCGGAAGUCACACCAUAAGCUUUACCAUCACCAGCAAACUCAACCUGUUAUUCGAAAAUCAAUUAGUCUCAAAAGAACUGAAUGCUGGAUGUUCAGAAGGAACUAAUUUCUUCGCUAGCAACAAUAUAAUAGAAAGAGAAAAAUCAAGAAAGUAGUAUAGAUAAACUUUUUUGUGAACAACAUUAAGGUAGUGAAUGAAUUGUCACAUUAAAGCAAAUAACAGAAGUGUCGGUGGAUGACUUGGCACUACGUUAAACUUCAAAGGCUAAGUUUCAUUAUAAACUUACCAUGCUUUAAUUCA